CUGUACAAGAGUGUGUUGCCUACUGCAGGGCCAAUGAAGCAGGGCGUUCGGUGUCCCUUUGCAUUCGGGAAUACUGCAGUCCUAAAAAGUGUGUGGAUUAUUGUAAAACCCUCACUAAUAGAAUCCAACCAUGCAUUAAAACUUGCGGAGUUGGACCAUAAAAACAAAGGGAGAGGAACCAUGGAAUCUUAAAAUGAUAUAAAAUAAACAUAUCUUCGAUAUAUCGUAUACUAGUAUUGUUUUACUA